rnacentral:misc_RNA from 1 species
UCUGAAAUUUACAUUUGUAUUGAUGGAAGGAAUUUUAUAUUAAUAAAUAACUAGUCUUUACACAUCAAAGGAAUGGAUUUUUUGGAUAGAGACAAAAACUUUUGGACCAUCACAGAAGAAGCGUGAUGUGUGUUCUAUAAGUAUACGGGCCAUAUCAAGUAAUAAAGUGAUAAAUAAAGUAUCGUUCCUACGAGAAAUUGUAUUUGAGUACUUGACUAUGGUUGUUUUGAUUAUUUAGAUUAAUG